rnacentral:rRNA from 1 species
UACGUAGGGUGCAAGCGUUGUCCGGAAUUAUUGGGCGUAAAGAGCUCGUAGGCGGUCUGUUGCGUCGGCUGUGAAAACCCGGGGCUCAACUCCGGGCCUGCAGCCGAUACGGGCAGACUAGAGUUCGGCAGGGGAGAGUGGAAUUCCUGGUGUAGCGGUGAAAUGCGCAGAUAUCAGGAGGAACGCCGGUGGCGAAGGCGGCUAGCUGGACCGUAACUGACGCUGAGGCGCGAAAGCGUGGGGAGCAAACAGG